UGGUUCUGGCAUNGAUGAAGAACGCAGCGAAAUGCGAUAAGUAAUGUGAAUUGCAGAAUUUAGUGAAUCAUCGAAUCUUUGAACGCACAUUGCACCUCUUGGUAAUCCUUGAGGUAUAUCUGUUCGAGCGCCGUUUAAAUAUUAAGACUUUGUCUUUUGUUGAUAUUCUCACGGUAAUGUGAUUUAUCUAAAUAUUUUGGCGUAUUUUUAAUAGCUUCAAAAAACGCAGUGAAAAUGUGUUUAUUGACUGUUAUACAAACUGCCUUGUUACAUCUCAUUAAACAUGGCCUCGGAUCAGAUAGGGAUACCCGCUGA
rnacentral:misc_RNA from 1 species